GUAACUAUAGUUUAAACAAAACAUUAGAUUGUGAAUCUAAUAAUAUAAGUUCAAAUCUCCUUCUUUACC
rnacentral:tRNA from 1 species